UACGUAGGGGGCAAGCGUUGUCCGGAAUCACUGGGCGUAAAGGGUUCGCAGGCGGAAAUGCAAGUCAGUUGUGAAAGGCAGAGGCUCAACCUCUGUAAGCAAUUGAAACUGUAUUUCUUGAGAUGUGGAGAGGCAAGUGGAAUUCCUAGUGUAGCGGUGAAAUGCGUAGAUAUUAGGAAGAAUACCGGUGGCGAAGGCGACUUGCUGGACACAAACUGACGCUGAGGAACGAAAGCGUGGGUAGCAAACAGG
rnacentral:rRNA from 2 species